rnacentral:rRNA from 1 species
UUAGUAGCGGCGAGUGAAGCGGCAAAAGCUCAAAUUUGAAAUCUGGCUCUUUCAGAGUCCGAGUUGUAAUUUGAAGAAGGUAUCUUUGGGUCUGGCUCUUGUCUAUGUUUCUUGGAACAGAACGUCACAGAGGGUGAGAAUCCCGUGCGAUGAGAUGAUCCAGGCCUAUGUAAAGUUCCUUCGAAGAGUCGAGUUGUUUGGGAAUGCAGCUCUAAGUGGGUGGUAAAUUCCAUCUAAAGCUAAAUAUUGGCGAGAGACCGAUAGCGAACAAGUACAGUGAUGGAAAGAUGAAAAGAACUUUGAAAAGAGAGUGAAAAAGUACGUGAAAUUGUUGAAAGGGAAGGGCUUGAGAUCAGACUUGGUAUUUUGUAUGUUACUUCUUCGGGGGUGGCCUCUACAGUUUAUCGGGCCAGCAUCAGUUUGGGCGGUAGGAGAAUUGCGUUGGAAUGUGGCACGGCUUCGGUUGUGUGUUAUAGCCUUCGUCGAUACUGCCAGCCUAGACUGAGGACUGCGGUUUAUACCUAGGAUGUUGGCAUAAUGAUCUUAAGUCGCCCGUCUUGAAACACGGACCAAGGAGUCUAACGUCUAUGCGAGUGUUUGGGUGUAAAACCCGUACGCGUAAUGAAAGUGAACGUAGGUGGGGGCCCGUAUGGGUGCACCAUCGACCGAUCCUGAUGUCUUCGGAUGGAUUUGAGUAAGAGCAUAGCUGUUGGGACCCGAAAGAUGGUGAACUAUGCCUGAAUAGGGUGAAGCCAGAGGAAACUCUGGUGGAGGCUCGUAGCGGUUCUGACGUGCAAAUCGAUCGUCGAAUUUGGGUAU